AACGCACAUUGCGCCCUUUGGUAUUCCGAAGGGCAUGCCUGUUCGAGCGUCAUUAUCACCCCUCAAGCCCGGCUUGUAGUUGGUUGCGGCGGCCCCUACCGCCCUUCCCAAAGAUAAUGACGGCGUCUGUGAGGACUCCUGUACACUGAGCUUUCGGGCACGUACACGGCUAGAAAUCCAGGCCCGGUCGCCCUCGGCCCCCCUCGUUUUCGAGGGACCGAGAACCCCCUUUAUAUCAAGGUUGACCUCGGAUCAGGUAGGAAUACCCGCUGAACUUAA
rnacentral:misc_RNA from 1 species